rfam:Oryza sativa (indica cultivar-group) chromosome 2, whole genome shotgun sequence.
UUUAAGCGCAACCAUGAGUUUCCGUGUUCAACUUUGAUCGUUCGUAUUAUUUGAAUUUUUUUAUGAUUAGUAUUUUUAUUGUUAUUAGAUGAUAAAUCAUGAAUAAUACUUUAUGUGUGACUUAUGUUUUUUUAAAAAAAAUCAAAUAAGACGGAUGAUUAAAGUUAAACACAGAAACUUAUGUCUAUGUUUAAA